AAAUUGAAGAGUUUGAUCAUGGCUCAGAUUGAACGCUGGCGGCAGGCCUAACACAUGCAAGUCGAACGGUAACAGGAAGCAGCUUGCUGCUUUGCUGACGAGUGGCGGACGGGUGAGUAAUGUCUGGGAAACUGCCUGAUGGAGGGGGAUAACUACUGGAAACGGUGGCUAAUACCGCAUAACGUCGCAAGACCAAAGAGGGGGACCUUCGGGCCUCUUGCCAUCAGAUGUGCCCAGAUGGGAUUAGCUUGUUGGUGAGGUAACGGCUCACCAAGGCGACGAUCCCUAGCUGGUCUGAGAGGAUGACCAGCCACACUGGAACUGAGACACGGUCCAGACUCCUACGGGAGGCAGCAGUGGGGAAUAUUGCACAAUGGGCGCAAGCCUGAUGCAGCCAUGCCGCGUGUAUGAAGAAGGCCUUCGGGUUGUAAAGUACUUUCAGCGGGGAGGAAGGUGUUGUGGUUAAUAACCGCAGCAAUUGACGUUACCCGCAGAAGAAGCACCGGCUAACUCCGUGCCAGCAGCCGCGGUAAUACGGAGGGUGCAAGCGUUAAUCGGAAUUACUGGGCGUAAAGCGCACGCAGGCGGUCUGUCAAGUCGGAUGUGAAAUCCCCGGGCUCAACCUGGGAACUGCAUUCGAAACUGGCAGGCUUGAGUCUUGUAGAGGGGGGUAGAAUUCCAGGUGUAGCGGUGAAAUGCGUAGAGAUCUGGAGGAAUACCGGUGGCGAAGGCGGCCCCCUGGACAAAGACUGACGCUCAGGUGCGAAAGCGUGGGGAGCAAACAGGAUUAGAUACCCUGGUAGUCCACGCCGUAAACGAUGUCUACUUGGAGGUUGUGCCCUUGAGGCGUGGCUUCCGGAGCUAACGCGUUAAGUAGACCGCCUGGGGAGUACGGCCGCAAGGUUAAAACUCAAAUGAAUUGACGGGGGCCCGCACAAGCGGUGGAGCAUGUGGUUUAAUUCGAUGCAACGCGAAGAACCUUACCUGGUCUUGACAUCCACGGAACUUUCCAGAGAUGGAUUGGUGCCUUCGGGAACCGUGAGACAGGUGCUGCAUGGCUGUCGUCAGCUCGUGUUGUGAAAUGUUGGGUUAAGUCCCGCAACGAGCGCAACCCUUAUCCUUUGUUGCCAGCGGUCCGGCCGGGAACUCAAAGGAGACUGCCAGUGAUAAACUGGAGGAAGGUGGGGAUGACGUCAAGUCAUCAUGGCCCUUACGACCAGGGCUACACACGUGCUACAAUGGCGCAUACAAAGAGAAGCGACCUCGCGAGAGCAAGCGGACCUCAUAAAGUGCGUCGUAGUCCGGAUUGGAGUCUGCAACUCGACUCCAUGAAGUCGGAAUCGCUAGUAAUCGUGGAUCAGAAUGCCACGGUGAAUACGUUCCCGGGCCUUGUACACACCGCCCGUCACACCAUGGGAGUGGGUUGCAAAAGAAGUAGGUAGCUUAACCUUCGGGAGGGCGCUUACCACUUUGUGAUUCAUGACUGGGGUGAAGUCGUAACAAGGUAACCGUAGGGGAACCUGCGGUUGGAUCACCUCCUUACCUUAAAG
rnacentral:rRNA from 1 species